rnacentral:rRNA from 1 species
GACGAACGCUGGCGGCGUGCCUAAUACAUGCAAGUCGAGCGAGACUCUUCGGAGUCUAGCGGCGGACGGGUGAGUAACACGUGGGCAACCUGCCUGUAAGACUGAGAUAACACCGGGAAACCGGUGCUAAUACCGGAUAAUCCUUUUCCUCUCAUGAAGAAAAGCUGAAAGUCGGUUUCGGCUGACACUUACAGAUGGGCCCGCGGCGCAUUAGCUAGUUGGUGAGGUAACGGCUCACCAAGGCGACGAUGCGUAGCCGACCUGAGAGGGUGAUCGGCCACACUGGGACUGAGACACGGCCCAGACUCCUACGGGAGGCAGCAGUAGGGAAUCUUCCACAAUGGACGAAAGUCUGAUGGAGCAACGCCGCGUGAGCGAUGAAGGCCUUCGGGUCGUAAAGCUCUGUUGUUAGGGAAGAACAAGUACCGGAGUAACUGCCGGUACCUUGACGGUACCUAACCAGAAAGCCACGGCUAACUACGUGCCAGCCGCCGCAGUAAGAC